GACGAACGCUGGCGGCGUGCCUAAUACAUGCAAGUAGAACGCUGAAGGAGGAGCUUGCUUCUCUGGAUGAGUUGCGAACGCGUGAGUAACGCGUAGGUAACCUGCCUGGUAGCGGGGGAUAACUAUUGGAAACGAUAGCUAAUACCGCAUAAUAGUAGAUGUUGCAUGACAUUUGCUGAAAAGGUGCACUUGCAUCUCUACAAGAUGGACCUGCGUUGUAUUAGCUAGUUGGUGAGGUAACGGCUCACCAAGGCGACGAUACAUAGCCGACCUGAGAGGGGGAUCGGCCACACUGGGACUGAGACACGGCCCAGACUCCUACGGGAGGCAGCAGUAGGGAAUCUUCGGCAAUAGACGGAAGUCUGACCGAGCAACGCCGCGUGAGUGAAGAAGGUUUUCGGAUCGUAAAGCUCUGUUGUAAGAGAAGAACGAGUGUGAGAGUGGAAAGUUCACACUGUGACGGUAUCUUACCAGAAAGGGACGGCUAACUACGUG
rnacentral:rRNA from 1 species